rnacentral:rRNA from 1 species
GAUGAACGCUGGCGGCGUGCCUAACACAUGCAAGUCGAACGGAGUCCAGCUUCAGAGACCUUCGGGUCAAAGAGGGGAAGACUGAGUGGCGGACGGGUGAGUAACACGUGGGCAACCUGGCUCAUAGAGGGGGAUAACAGAGAGAAAUUUCUGCUAAUACCGCAUAAGCACACACUGCCGCAUGGCAGAGUGUGAAAAGAGAAUCGCUAUGAGAUGGACCCGCGUCUGAUUAGCCAGUUGGCAGGGUAAGAGCCUACCAAAGCGACGAUCAGUAGCCGAUCUGAGAGGAUGAACGGCCACAUUGGGACUGAGACACGGCCCAAACUCCUACGGGAGGCAGCAGUGGGGGAUAUUGCACAAUGGGGGGAACCCUGAUGCAGCGACGCCGCGUGAGUGAAGAAGUAUUUCGGUAUGUAAAGCUCUAUCAGCAGGGAAGA